AGGCUGGUAGCUCAGUUGGUAGAGCACCACUAUAUAUAAGUAGAGGUCCUGGGCUCAAUCCCCAGCUGGUCCA
rfam:Serpula lacrymans var. lacrymans S7.3 unplaced genomic scaffold SERLA73scaffold_3, whole genome shotgun sequence.